rnacentral:tRNA from 16 species
GCGCCCGUAGCUCAGCAGGAUAGAGCAACAGUUUCCUAAACUGUAGGCCGGAUGUUCGAAUCAUCUCGGGCGCG